CGCCGAAACCCGCUCCGGCGGGUCGCCCGGGCGCUGGAGACCCGGGCCUGACGAGGCCAAAC
rnacentral:hammerhead_ribozyme from 1 species